rnacentral:rRNA from 1 species
AAUGAACGCUGGCGGCAGGCCUAACACAUGCAAGUCGAACGCCCCGCAAGGGGAGGGGCGCACGGGUGAGUAACGCGUGGGAAUAUGCCCUUCGGUUCGGAAUAACACAGGGAAACUUGGGCGAGUACCGGAGACGAACUACGGAAGAAAGAUUCAUCGCCGAAGGAGUAGCCCGCGUAGGAUUCGCUAGUUGGUGAGGUAAUGGCUCACCAAGGCGACGAUCCUUAGCUGGUCUGAGAGGAUGAUCAGCCACACUGGGACUGAGACACGGCCCAGACUCCUACGGGAGGCAGCAGUGGGGAAUAUUGGCCAAUGGGCGAAAGCCUGAUCCAGCCAUGCCGCGUGAGUGAUGAAGGCCUUAGGGUUGUAAAGCUCUUUCGCCAGGGAAGAUAAUGACGGUACCUGGAAAAGAAGCCUCGGCUAACUCCGUGCCAGCAGCCGCAGUAACAC